UACGUGGGGGGCAAGCGUUGUUCGGAUUUACUGGGCGUAAAGGGCGCGUAGGCGGCAAUUCAAGUCAGCUGUGAAAUCUCCGGGCUUAACUCGGAACGGUCAGCUGAUACUGCUUUGCUAGAGUGCGGAAGGGGCAAUCGGAAUUCUCGGUGUAGCGGUGAAAUGCGUAGAUAUCGAGAGGAACACCUGAGGUGAAGACGGGUUGCUGGGCCGACACUGACGCUGACAGCGCGAAAGCCAGGGGAGCAAACGGG
rnacentral:rRNA from 1 species